AGUGAACGCUGGCGGUAGGCCUAACACAUGCAAGUCGAACGGCAGCACAGUAAGAGCUUGCUCUUACGGGUGGCGAGUGGCGGACGGGUGAGGAAUACAUCGGAAUCUACUUUUUCGUGGGGGAUAACGUAGGGAAACUUACGCUAAUACCGCAUACGACCUACGGGUGAAAGCAGGGGAUCUUCGGACCUUGCGCGAUUGAAUGAGCCGAUGUCGGAUUCGCUAGUUGGCGGGGUAAAGGCCCACCAAGGCGACGAUCCGUAGCUGGUCUGAGAGGAUGAUCAGCCACACUGGAACUGAGACACGGUCCAGACUCCUACGGGAGGCCGCAGUGGGGAAUAUUGGACAAUGGGCGCAAGCCUGAUCCAGCCAUACCGCGUGGGUGAAGAAGGCCUUCGGGUUGUAAAGCCCUUUUGUUGGGAAAGAAAAGCAGCAGGUUAAUACCCCGCUGUUCUGACGGUACCCAAAGAAUAAGCACCGGCUAACUUCGUG
rnacentral:rRNA from 1 species